UACAUACUCUACCAUCUUUUUUCUCUCAUAAAACCAGCCGCCCCACACCCUUCUUCUUCCCAUGGUCUCUCACCUGUUCUCCUUCUCUUCCAAUCGAUAAUGGCUAAGGCUAAUGGAUCAUUGACAACUGAAUGCAGGUGGCACUAUUGGUGUUUUUGGUUUGGAUUGUGAUUAGUUUUGUUGUGUUUGGCCUCAUUUUCUAAAAACAAGUUCUAACCUUCGGCCACUCGAGUAGCAGCUCCCCAGUCAACAGGCUUUGUGGAGACGGCUUUUGCACCUACAAAAUCUCUGUGGCGAUAGGCUUCAUUGGGGGCUCCGAGCUUCUUGGCAACACGUCAGUUCUUACAUGGAUUCAGAAAGCAGAGGGAUAAUGGCAAUAUAUGCCACUGUGCAGCUAAGGAGGAGAACUUUCGAGAUAAUAUUUAUUGCAAUUCGAUGCUUGUAAAAUUAGAACAAUUUUAUUGUAAGAUCCAUCAAUAGAGUAUCAUAUUGAAAUAUUUAGAUUGUUAUUAGGACUUAGAGGUGGUUUGAGGUUUUUUAUGUAUUUAUUAUUUAUUUUUAUUGAUAAUGUUGAAGGAUGUUAUAAGUUAGCUUGCAAUAUAUGUUAAUGAGAAAUUAAAAUUUCUUUUGA